GAUCAUUACUGAUUUGCUUAAUUGCACCACAUGUGUUUUUCUUUGAAACAAACUUGCUUUGGCGGUGGGCCCAGCCUGCCGCCAGAGGUCUAAACUUACAACCAAUUUUUUAUCAACUUGUCACACCAGAUUAUUACUUAAUAGUCAAAACUUUCAACAACGGAUCUCUUGGUUCUCGCAUCGAUGAAGAACGCAGCGAAAUGCGAUACGUAAUAUGAAUUGCAGAUAUUCGUGAAUCAUCGAAUCUUUGAACGCACAUUGCGCCCUCUGGUAUUCCGGAGGGCAUGCCUGUUUGAGCGUCGUUUCUCCCUCAAACCGCUGGGUUUGGUGUUGAGCAAUACGACUUGGGUUUGCUUGAAAGACGGUAGUGGUAAGGCGGGAUCGCUUUGACAAUGGCUUAGGUCUAACCAAAAACAUUGCUUGCGGCGGUAACGUCUACCACGUAUAUCUUCAAACUUUGACCUCAAAUCAGG
rnacentral:misc_RNA from 1 species